CACACACACAUCACGAAGACACUAAAGGGCGGGCUGUCAGAAACUCGCAUUGAGAAGCGCAUCGUCAUCACGGGAGAUUCUGACAUUGAUCACGAUCAGAGCUGAAGUGCGGCUCAGAGUUCAUCCCUUCAUCCGGCGAAGGACGUGUGGAGGAGAGAAGAGCAGCUCUGAUCCUGUACAGAAAUACAUCUUCAUCUUCUGUCUUUCACAACCAGAACCACUUAGCUAACA